CUUCCUACAACCCAUGCGAUUUAGGGACCGAUCAUCAUAAGUGUCUAUCCUGAGCAGACUCCUAGAUGCCUCUCCAACUAAGCUAACUCCUUGCACUUGAAAUAUAUGAGUUAACACCAUACCAUAGAGGAGAGAGGCCUUAGGUGUUUGCUAGAUGACUUAGAUAUCUGUUGCAGCAUCAACGUAGGAAGAUUGAGUGAAAACUCGCAUAUAAUAUGGUAUAUCAUUGCCAUAUCCUACUCAAUCAUAAAGUCAAAUCAUCCUAUUCU
rnacentral:lncRNA from 1 species